ACGGGCGUAGUACAAGGGUUAGUAUAGUGGUCUCCAAAACCAUUGAUGGGGGUUCGAAUCCCUCCGCCCGUGCAA
rnacentral:tRNA from 4 species